CUUCCAACAAAUGAACAACACUAGCAGCUGUAGCAAUAAGAAAGUGUAAGCAACAAAGAUUGGGUCCCAGUUCCGGACCCAGCGUACCCGCCCUACCUGAGACGAUCACCUGAUCUCGUCUCCCUCAUUUUGGCCACUAGAUGGCCUGCAUCAGCCCGUUUCGGCUGUUAUGCCCCCUCUUCCCAUUAAGUGAGACUUAGCCGGACAUUUCUCUCUUCAAUAUGUAUCUCCAUUCAGUUAUUCACAUUAUCAUGCACGUGAACAUUUCUGUACCAGAAUAUGUGUUAUUUACUUUAACAACAUUAAAUGGAACAGGCGACGAAACACUGCAAGGUAAUUGCCCGUCAACAAAAGAAAAAAAAAGAACGAGGGGAAAGAAAUAAACAUCAGG